rnacentral:misc_RNA from 1 species
AAACUGCGAUAAGUAGUGUGAAUUGCAUUUAGUGAAUCAUCGAAUCUUUGAACGCACCCUGCACUCACUGGUAUUCCGGUGAGUACGCCUGUUUCAGUAUCAUUGAAAACACACAAUCAAAACAUUUUCUUUGGUUUGAUUGGCUUUGGGUCUAUCAAAAAGUUUGGCUUGUUUCUUACAAGCCAAGCGGCCUGAAAUAUAUUGUCUGGCUAAUUGCAUCGUUGAUGAUCGCUAUUAGACUUUGGCUUUUUUAAAUGAACUGGAGGUUGAUUAACCAGUUUUAGCUUUAGUCAAAUGGUCAUUGUAAAAAAAAUCCCGAUCUUGGCUAGGUGUUUAUAGCCGAAAAUUUUUUUUUGGCUAUAACCGAAACCAAUAUAAUCACAUUUAGUUAUCGAUCUGAAAUCAGGUGGGACUACCCGCUGAACUUAAGC